rnacentral:rRNA from 1 species
GCAUAUCAAUAAGCGGAGGAAAAGAAACCAACAGGGAUUGCCCUAGUAACGGCGAGUGAAGCGGCAACAGCUCAAAUUUGAAAUCUGGCGUCUUUGGCGUCCGAGUUGUAAUUUGCAGAGGGCGCUUUGGCAUUGGCAGCGGUCCAAGUUCCUUGGAACAGGACGUCACAGAGGGUGAGAAUCCCGUACGUGGUCGCUAGCCUUUACCGUGUAAAGCCCCUUCGACGAGUCGAGUUGUUUGGGAAUGCAGCUCUAAAUGGGAGGUAAAUUUCUUCUAAAGCUAAAUACUGGCCAGAGACCGAUAGCGCACAAGUAGAGUGAUCGAAAGAUGAAAAGCACUUUGGAAAGAGAGUUAAAAAGCACGUGAAAUUGUUGAAAGGGAAGCGCUUGCAGCCAGACUUGCCUGUAGUUGCUCAUCCGGGUUUUUACCCGGUGCACUCUUCUGCGGGCAGGCCAGCAUCAGUUUGGGCGGUUGGAUAAAGGUCUCUGUCAUGUACCUCUCUUCGGGGAGAACUUAUAGGGGAGACGACAUGCAACCAGCCUGGACUGAGGUCCGCGCAUCUGCUAGGAUG